CGUUUUGAAGCGACUUCAGACUUCAGAUAACAAAGAUAAAAUAACAAAAUGAAAUAUUUAUUGAUUAGGAAAGCACCGUUUGAUUGAAAACUCUUGGAUUGAAAACAGUUUUAAAUGGUCAAGCAAUAGACAUUUUGGUCAAUUUGUCUCUUAAUAGCAAACAUUAGCAUUUUUUAUGAUAUAAGUUUCCUACGUGGUGUUAAAGAUGCACAGGUAUAAACAUGUAUUUGGUUGGUCACAUGCUUGGUGCUUGAUUUUUAAUCCCGAUCAAACUAAACAAGCAGUUGAAAUGACAUUUUUAAUAAACAAAAUUUCAGCCGAUCAUCCACCAGUUUAAUUCAAUGACAUCCCUGUUAUCAAAAUGAAAGAACAUAUACUUCUUGGCAUCAUGUUUGAUACCAAAUUGUCAUUUGCCACUCACUUUCAGUCAAUUAUACUAGAAUGUAGACACGGAAAAGGAAAAAUAACAUUUUUUCAAAAUAUUUGCCCCACAACACUAUAAAUGAAUUUUAUAAAUUGUAUGUGCAGCCACACUUAGAUUACGGUGAUGUCAUUCACAAUACCCCACCCAAAAAAUGCGACUACAAUCAUAUGGAAAAAUUUGAAUCAAUUCAAUAUUCUGCUGCACUAGCAGUGACUGGAGAAUGGAAAGGAACAUCUCGUGAAAAACUCUACGACGAACUUGGCUGGGAAUCCCUAAGCCUACGACGUUGGAGCAGACGCCUUGUUCUUUUUGACAAGAUUGUCAACGAUAUUACUCCUGACUACACAAGAUACCCUAUUCCACAAUUACCACAAGCUAUGUACUCUUUUAGUAAUGCAGAUGUAGUUGGGCACAUAAGGGUAAGAACGACAAGAUUCAAGAACAGCCUUUAUCCCGACUGUCUCUCUGAGUGGAACACACUUGUCCUAGAGAUUAGGUUAUCACUAUCACUAAGUAUUUUUAAAACAAAAUUAUCGAAACUUAUCCGACCCACUUCUCAACUAGUAUACGGUAUUCAUGAUGCAAAAGAUCUAUUUAUCCUAGAUCUGAUGUUCUCAACAGUGUGAAUGCAAUAUUGCUCCCAAAUGGUUUUUCGGCAUCUAAUUUUUGUCUGUUUACUCUGUAUUCGUAAUUAUUUUACCUAGUUUUAGUUUUAUUUAUUUCUAUCUUUGUUUAAUGUUGUGCGUUUAUAUGCAUCGGCCAUGGGGUAGUCAUUUCGCUCUUCAUGGCAUCAUACCCAUAGUGUAGUACAGUAAUUAGGGUAAUAUAGUCGAAUGUAAAAUUGUAUUGCAAUUAUUUUCUAUGAAUAAAGAAAAACUGUUUUUGGUAUAAAGAACAGGGCGGUUCUACCUCGCUACUCCGAGAUUCAUGCUUAUUGCAAUCACCAUGCAAUGAUACUUAUUAUUGCAUUAAGAAGCGUAAAACCAGGAGAAGCAACUUAGAGCCGUCCUGUUCUAUAUGCCAGAGGCGUGUACAGAUCUGCCUAUACUGCAUCUUAAGCACUUAAUCACAGGCCGGUAGAAAAAUAUUUUCUAUUUCAACUUCUAACUAGUUGCACCAAUGGUUGAUGAUUUUUUUCUCAAGGUUUGCAAUGACGACCAGUUCAUUAUCCACCUGUUCAUUGGCUUCCUAGUUCCAUUAGCUAGCUUAUGCCGGUCUUAAGCUACCCUAAAGCAAUUUUACUAACCUCAUUCAUUUCUUUCAUUUUAAGCACACAGUUGAAAUAGUGAAGUUGUAGAAAUAAAUUCUUAUAAUUGCGAUUUUAUCCGGAAAGCAAAUAUACUGACUAAUUUUCGCGCUUAUUUAAUUCGACUUUCUAUCAUUAAGAGAGUACGACACUACUUGCUUAUGUGAAGUGCCUGCAAUUAGGGCUAAUUUUUUUGCAACAUGUAUCCAACUUCACUGCUGAUUGGUUUAGCAUUGUGAAGGUGUAAUCAAACUAUUUUUUGUCACCAAAACGGCGGUUUUAGAAGAUGAAAAAUUCUAAUAUUACAUUUUGAUUAAAAAAUAAAAGAUAUAAGCCGCCUAAUUUUCAUUACAUGUAACGGAAUGGACAAAUCAGAAAUUCUCGAAAAAACGUUUGGGACAGGUUUCUCAAUUGUGCUUAGAGUGAAUCUCUUGAAUGCAAGUUUGGCGUUACCGACAUGCAAAUCUUGAUAGGUUUGCGAAGAAAGUGCCUAACAAAACCUUCUGCCUGCCACUGUACUGACUACAAAAUCGUAUUCGGUGCAACUUGUUUACGCAUUGGCUGUCAGUGUUACAAAUACCAGACAUGCUUUUAUUAAUUCAAAAUAGAUACAGGCCUGUUUGAUCCAAAUAAGAUAAGACAAGAUUCACGUAAAAGCAGGAAAUUUCUAUAGCUUCAAAUAUGAAUAGGUUGUUGUGAUUUGGGUGGCCACCUCUGGUGUGUUUGCAGCUUUCAAAUAACAGUAUAUUGUGGACCAAACUGCAUAGUCCUGUUAAAGCUUAAUAAAACUGCACAUCAAAUACGCUAGAAAUGAGCCUUUUAUUUGCCGCCAUUGUUAUAAAUUAUGAAUCAACUUAAAGAGAACAGGGAAAACCAGACCUAAAUUUAUUUUUCAAUUUGAGGGAAUAAGCAGUUGGCGAUAGGAGGAAAUUUGCGGUGCAUGGUUUUUUGAAUACCUUUGUUUAAGUGUCUUAAACCAUUUCGGGUCGCGUUCUCAGACCAGUGACAAGCUAAACCUUUUUGGAUAAGCUCAGGGUAUAGAAGGAUUAUCGCUAGAGCGUUUCUGUUUUUGAAUAGCGCUUCCAAGACAAGAGCUUCUUUACAAGUACGUUAGACCACGCAAUAAAAGACAUCGACCAAAUGGCAUUUCCACUAUAUUUAAAGGGGAAAAAUUCGCUGAUUUCUAACGACUAUCUUGAAAAUAUUUGAAACUUAGUAUUCAGUAUAAUUUUUUUGCAAUCAUGAUAGUUGAUUUUUUCAAUGCGUUUAUAAAAAAACCAACUCCAAAUUUGUGUGAGAAAAGGAAACGUUUGAUACAGACAAGAUACCAGGCGCCUAAAAAAAAGUCAGAAAUUUUUCCAACGUCACUGGUAUAAACUCAUUUAGAACCUAUGCACUCUGAAUCGAAAGAUACUUGGAGAAAAUAACAAAUAUAUGGAGAAAAAGGUGAAGAAGUUUGUUUUAGAUCAAAUGACGAAUUGAUUGAUUAUAAAAGUCUAAUGAACCAUCAGCAGAUAGGAGAAAAGAAACUAAAAUAAACUCAAAAGCCAUUAUCAAUUUGGAACCAUUCUAAGAUCCAAAAACAAAAACUCCGAAACAAGUGGUAAUCAUUGGUGUAGUGUCCGAAAAAAACUGGUUACUCACAAAGGUUGUAAUUUCUUCUGAUAAAGUAUACUCCUUUUUACAUACAUUGCAAGAAAUUUGCUUUUGUAUCUCUAAAAUGAUGCCAAAUUUGGCUCUUUGAUAUUGCCAAUUUCAUUAAGUUAUUUGAUCAAUUAGCUUUGGUAGACUUUAAAAAGCAAAGGCUGUUAUCGUCAAUUAUGACUGUACUAUGGCAUCUAUAAAACCUCUUUCUUCUGAUCUAGGCUAACGAUAUGCAACUGGUUCAACUGGUGUUAGCGUGAUAGCUAUUUUUGGUUUUUUGUACUGGGAAUAUAAACAUGUCUUUACCACUAGUUGUUGUUGUUGCAUCUCUUUUAAUGACCAAAGUAAUUUGAAGAAGUCAGAUAUGAUAGAACAAAAUACAAGUAAAAAUGACAAAAUAAUUUUGUCAGUUUUACGCGAUGAUAUCUUCAUUUUUGACAUAACCGAGAUUAAAUAAUUUCAAUAUCCACAAUUAUGAACCUUGAGUGAAGGGGUAUCAAACAGCAGGAAAAUUUUCAGAUUUGACCUUUCUGUGAUAAGCUCCCUAUUGGUUUUAUGUUGCAUUUGUCUAAUUGCAUCAUAUGUAUCGCAGCCCCCCACAUCACUAUACAAUGCCCUACUGAGGCUCCGAGUGGCUUCUUGGAAUAAAAUUCUCCUGUUUGGGUUUUUAAUUUCAUUCAUUGCUAUUUUGGUAAUUGGCCUAGUCAUAGGACCAUUCUGCUUUUAAGAAAAAUUUAACAACUAACUUAUUAAUAAGGAAUUUCCAAACAAAGAAAGUCCGGUAAAAAUUGUUUGUAACUCUUUGGCUGAAUCUUCGAUACAAAAGUUACAUUUAGAUUGUUUGAAUCAAACUUUCUUUCUAAACUAAGGAAAAACCGUGCUUAUAACUUUUAACAAAACAAUGACGCCAUUAAUGACUGGCUAAGCUUCUCCAUGACAACGUUAAUUUACAACUAGGCCGCCAGUCUCAGUGAUAAUUCCAAAAUGACAGCCGAUUCAAAAUUUUCUAUUUAUCUGGAAACUGGUAGACAACUUUGUCAGAUGGAAGAGCUGUUCAGAAGGACAUUGUAGGCCAUGGUAUGCUAUCUCAGGAGAAUAUCAAUCUCAGCUUGCUUUUCUCAAUUAUCUACUUUUAACUAUAAGAAACAAAGAUGAAAUGACAUACCAAGACAAAGAUGAAAAGAGUGUGUUAAAGGGUGAUGAUAAAACUGAUUGCGUCUAGCGUUCAAGAAAGCAGUCAAUAGAAGAUAUAAGAGAAAUUUAGGGCUGUUUUUUGGAUUAACACUAAAAACCCUUAUGCAUCUACUGCUGCUCCUCAAACUCUAUGUAAUCACAUUGUUGUACUGUCUGUCAAGGCUGACAUUUACAUUAUGAUUAAUGAAAUAAUAAAAGAAAAUUGGAUCAAUUAUAUAAAAUCCAGUCCAGCGAUAAAAAAUGACACUACACGAUCCACUAAUGAUCCACUAGCAUUGGUUGGAAAUAUACCUUGGACAAUGGAGAAAGUGUUUCGAUUUCUCGUUCUGGGCAGAGCAUUGAUAGGAUAACGGUGGGAGGAUGCGCCGAAGUUCAUUAAGGUAUCAGACAGAUCAAGUCCUGUUUGGUCAAUAACAACUCAAAAGUGAGAUUAUUCUGUAAAUCCGUAAGCCCUAAUGAGAUACGAGUACCAAUUGUCACCCUUAAUUGUUUAUCAGAAACAAUCCAUGAUGGAUCUGGUUUUAGAGAACUCAAGCCGGACGUUCAAUAACAUCAAGAGACCUGGAGCCAAAGACUAAAGAUGGAAUAGCCAGCGAACGUCUGAUUUUACCUCUGGAAGGAGAGAGCUUCAUUUCUUAAACAAGCUUCAAGAGACCAAAUUGAUAACAAGAUUGUAAUAGCUGGAAAUUUAUCUCCUGAAAACUGUCACCUGAAUCAGCAGUUGUUUCUGAUGAAGCUGGAGAAGCUUGAAAUAAACAAGGUGAAAUGUCUUAACUGCUAUUCGCACAAACGCUGGUUUUCUUAUGGCUUCAGAAAAUAUGGAUAGAAAAUUAUAACGAAAUUGUAAAAGGGUGUUUUGUUUGAAGUUGGUGUUAUUUAGAAUGAUUACUUACAGCUAAAUAAACUGCAACGAGUAAAUACCCUGAGACAAGCAAAAAUGUGACAUGGGAGUGAAAACCAUUGGACAAUAUCAAAGUCAUUGACACAAGUACACAGUACCUAGCAAGCGUAUACUUUGAGCUUGUGAGCUAAAGAAGUGUGAAUUUUUGAUUGAUUUUUUUGCAUCAGGGCAAAUAAAUUGUUGCAUGCCUGGCAACAUCAGUCUUGUAUUUGUUUGUGUACUUUUUAUUUCAAUUAUUUAGCAACUUUAAUCAUUUCAUAUACUUAGCAUAUUUAAAGUUUCAUAAAAUCUUGGCGGAAGUUCAAAUGUUCACUAGCAAUUAGUCCGUUGAUACUAGC